rnacentral:piRNA from 1 species
UAGAUUCGGUGGAUUUAGGUGCCCUGACUU